rnacentral:rRNA from 1 species
UACAGAGGGUGCAAGCGUUGUCCGGAAUUACUGGGUGUAAAGCGCGUGUAGGCGGUAGGCCAAGUCUGCUGUGAAAUCGCCCGGCUCAACUGGGCGCGGUCGGUGGAAACUGGUCAACUGGAGGACGGUAGAGGCGAGUGGAAUUCCCGGUGUAGUGGUGAAAUGCGUAGAGAAUCGGGAGGAACACCAGUGGCGGAAGGCGGUUGCCUGGAGCUUUGCUGACGCUGAGGCGCGAAAGCGUGGGGAGCGAUCCGG